AACGAACGCUGGCGGCAUGCCUAACACAUGCAAGUCGAACGAGACCUUCGGGUCUAGUGGCGCACGGGUGCGUAACGCGUGGGAACCUGCCCUUAGGUUCGGAAUAACUCCCCGAAAGGGGUGCUAAUACCGGAUAAUGUCUUCGGACCAAAGAUUUAUCGCCUUUGGAUGGGCCCGCGUUGGAUUAGCUAGUUGGUAGUGUAAAAGCCUACCAAGGCGACGAUCCAUAGCUGGUCUGAGAGGAUGCUCAGCCGCAAUGGGGCUGCGACACGGCCCAGACUGCGACGGGAGGGAGCGGUGGGGAAGAGUAUAGGAGGGGGGAUGGUGUGACACAGCAGCGUGGGGGGAGUGAGGAAGCCCGUAGGAUUGCAAAUUUCCCUGAGCCGGGACGAGAAUGACAGUACCGGGAAAAGAAGCUCCGGCUAACUCCGUG
rnacentral:rRNA from 1 species